UUCCCCUCGGACCUUGAAAAUCCGGGCGAGGGCCACGAGGAACACCGCGCCGGCUCGUACCCAUAUCCGCAGCAGGUCUCCAAGGUGAAUAGCCUCUAGUCGAUAGAAUAAUGUAGGUAAGGGAAGUCGGCAAACCCGAUCUGUAACUUCGGGAUAAGGAUUGGCUCUGAGGAUCGUGGCGCGCCGGGCUUGGUCGGGAAGUGGAGCGGUGCCAACGUGCCGGGCCUGGGCGAGGUGAAGGGCGCUUGUCGUCUGGACCCUAGCUCGGUCCCGUGCCUUGGCCACCCACGGACCUUCCUUGCUGCGAGCCUCCCGGCUGUCUAGUUUUCGGCGCUCGUUCGGAGGACGGGCCGGAAGGCUCUUCGGCCGCCAUAGAACGAUCAACUUA
rnacentral:rRNA from 1 species